rfam:Felis catus isolate Cinnamon breed Abyssinian chromosome B1, whole genome shotgun sequence.
ACCUGGGUGGCUCAGUCGGUUGAGCAUCUGACUUCGGCUCAGGUCAUGAUUUCACUGUUCGUGGGUUUGAACCCUGCAUCAGGCU